CCUAGAGUUUGAUCCUGCUCAGGAUGAACGCUAGGGGCAGGCCUAACACAUGCAAGUCGAGGGGAGAGGUUACCUUCGGGUAACCAAAACCGGCGCACGGGUGCGUAACGCGUAUACAAUCUGCCUUUCACGUAGGGAUAGCCCGAAAAAAUUUGGAUUAAUACCUAAUGGUAUAUAAGAGCGGCAUCGUUUUUAUAUUAAAGCUACGGUGGUGAAAGAUGAGUAUGCGUUCUAUUAGCUAGUUGGAGAGGUAACGGCUCCCCAAGGCGACGAUAGAUAGGGGUUCUGAGAGGGAUGUCCCCCACACUGGUACUGAGAUACGGACCAGACUCCUACGGGAGGCAGCAGUGAGGAAUAUUGGACAAUGGUCGGAAGACUGAUCCAGCCAUGCCGCGUGCAGGAUGAAGGUCCUAUGGAUUGUAAACUGCUUUUGUAAGGGAAGAAUAAGGAGUACGUGUACUUUGAUGACGGUACCUUACGAAUAAGCAUCGGCUAACUCCGUGCCAGCAGCCGCGGUAAUACGGAGGAUGCGAGCGUUAUCCGGAAUCAUUGGGUUUAGAGGGUCCGUAGGCGGGCUGAUAAGUCAGAGGUGAAAGCGCUUAGCUCAACUAAGCAACUGCCUUUGAAACUGUCAGUCUUGAAUGAUUGUGAAGUAGUUGGAAUGUGUAGUGUAGCGGUGAAAUGCUUAGAUAUUACACAGAACACCGAUAGCGAAGGCAUAUUACUAACAAUUUAUUGACGCUGAUGGACGAAAGCGUGGGGAGCGAACAGG
rnacentral:rRNA from 1 species